rnacentral:rRNA from 1 species
CAGGCCUAACACAUGCAAGUCGCACGAGAAAGGGGCUUCGGCCCUGAGUAAAGUGGCGCACGGGUGAGUAACACGUGAAUCAUCUACCUUCGAGUGGGGAAUAACUUCGGGAAACCGAGGCUAAUACCGCAUAAUACCUACGGGUCAAAGCAGCAAUGCGCUUGAAGAGGAGUUCGCGGCAGAUUAGUUAGUUGGUGGGGUAAUGGCCUACCAAGACGAUGAUCUGUAUCCGGCCUGAGAGGGCGCACGGACACACUGGAACUGAAACACGGUCCAGACUCCUACGGGAGGCAGCAGUGGGGAAUUUUGCGCAAUGGGGGAAACCCUGACGCAGCAACGCCGCGUGGAGGAUGAAAUCCCUUGGGAUGUAAACUCCUUUCGACUGGGAAGAUAAUGACGGUACCAGGAGAAGAAGCCCCGGCUAACUUCGUGCCAGCAGCCGCGGUAAUACGAGGGGGGCGAGCGUUGUUCGGAAUUAUUGGGCGUAAAGGGUGCGUAGGCGGUUUGAUAAGUUUGGUGUGAAAUCUAUGGGCUCAACCCAUAGCCUGCACCGAAAACUGUCGGGCUUGAGUAUGGGAGAGGUGAGUGGAAUUUCCGGUGUAGCGGUGAAAUGCGUAGAUAUCGGAAGGAACACCUGUGGCGAAAGCGGCUCACUGGACCAUUACUGACGCUGAUGCACGAAAGCUAGGGGAGCAAACAGGAUUAGAUACCCUGGUAGUCCUAGCCCUAAACGAUGAUUGCUUGAUGUAGCGGGUACCCAAUCCUGCUGUGUCGAAGCUAACGCGAUAAGCAAUCCGCCUGGGGGAGUACGGUCGCAAGGCUGAAACUCAAAAGGAAUUGACGGGGGGCCCGCACAAGCGGGUGGAGCAUGUGGUUUAAAUUCGACGCAACGCGAAAGAACCUUAACUGGGGCUCGAAAAUGUACAGGGA